AAAAUGAAUCUCUACCUCGGCGCCAUCACUAUUGCCGUCGAGCUAGAACGAGUCGACGCCAAUUAAAUUAGCGUGUAUAUGUUACAGUCGACGCCUACGAGUACCUGACGUGGCACUACCUCGGCGCCAUGGAUCUCGGCGCCAUGAAUCUCAGUGCCGAGGUCGGUGCCAUGGAUCUCGGCGUCGACCUCCAUGUUUAUAAAUAUCUCACUUCGGUCGUCAGUUCUUUGUAAUCAUUUCUCUUCUACCAAACGACCAAUAUCAACCUAAAUCAGCGACUUGAAUCCAUUGUUCAUGUGUAUCAAGGUAAUUUCCCUCCAUUUUUUUGGUCUUUUGCUAUGUCUGAUUAAUAGGGUUAGGGUUACCGUUUGGGAAUCAUUUUUAGACUCAUUUUUUAUUGUCAUAUUAUCGAUUUGUAGGAUGUGUAGGCGUGGUAAAUCUGCUAAACAAAGGUAACCGUUGUAUUAGAUGUAAUAACUAAUAUUUGUGAGUCUUAUAAAACUUAUCAAAAUUUAGGAAGGGUCCAUUGACCGGAACUGCCUUCGACCCACUUCCUUUGCCAACUAGUGUUUCAGUGCCUAUGUGUUUUUGUGGUGAUCCUUGCAAGGUUGACAAGUCCACUGAUCAUGACACCUAUCGACAGAGGUAUUGGAUGUGUGCUAACUAUGCAUUUGAGCCAACGAUUGUUCAGCGUCGGAUGAAUUUAAUGGUGAGAAUAAUUUUUUAGUUAGUUCACAGCUUUCAUACGAGGUGGUGCAUGUUUUGUUUUGGUACUAAUCAUUGCAUGUUUUGUAGACUCCUCGACCGCUCUGUGAUUUUGAGCAGUGGAUUAACACAGAAAUCUCACAGAAAGACAAGAAGUGAUUGGAGAAUCUUAAAAAGUGGGAUACAGAGGACAAAGAGAGGAUAGAGAAAAGACGAGAGAAGCUUGCGGCCGAGCAACAAUGGGUAGACAAACAGGAAAUGAGGCAUAUUGCUGAAUGCAGGGAGGAGAAGGAGAAGAAGCUUGAGCGUGCACGUCGUGCAAAAGGACGCAAUAGGGGAGAAUCCAGAUGCUUUUCGCAAGGGCAAAUGGCCCCGUUGCACUCAGUAGUCUAGGUGAUUAUAUGAUGUUAUGUAGUAAUAAACUUCUUAUUAUGUAUUAUUUAGUAUCGAACAAUGUUAUAUAGUAAUGAACUACUUAUUAUGGAUUCAAAUUAGGCACUAAAAGCAAUUGAUGAAGACGACUUAAAGCAAUUGAUACAGAGAAUCAACACACUUAAAGCAAUUGAUACAAAACAGUUUUCUAAUAGUUCAUUUACCAAUGAAUGUUGUAUAAAUGUUUACUGUUAGUUUUACUCUACAACAAAAUCUUAUAGAACCAAGGAUUAUAAUUAAUAUUUACAUAUGCAUAAGGACAUAUGAAGAAACAUCGGCCUCCAUCAAUCCCCCUCUCGACGAACAUAUGCACCAAGCAAUCCUCACCAUGCAUGCACUUCGGCCAAUCUUCUCUCCUGUUAUCGUAAGACUUAAGUCGAACCUUCUUAUUGAAAUCACUUUUACUUUGUACUAGAAAUUCAUAUGAUGCUUCCUCAAAAUAAUUGGGGCCAAGUGGCCCAUCAUAACAAAUUGGAGGUCCCUUCCCCACACCCUUUGCUCUCUCAUUUCUAGAACCCUUUCCUCAAGAUGACCCUGAAACCAUUUUAGCUGGUGACUUCCCUUUGUAUAACACAAUGAACCAAAUGGUCGCGUAUAAAUAGGCCAAUGUCAAGGUGGUAUGUGUUAUGAAAAUGCUAGAUGUUUCUGAAAAGGCUAGGUAUUUCUCAAAAGGAUAGCUGCUUCUAAAAAGGCCAGAUACUUCUGAAAAAGUUAGAUGCUUCUGAAAAGGCUAUGUACUUCUGAAAAGGCUAGAUGUUUCUGAAAAGUCUAGAUACUUAUGAAAAUGCUAGAUAUUUGCCUCUCAUUAAUCCAUGUAUUUGGUUUAGGGAUGUACUCAUAAUGCAUGCCGGGAUUUGCCGCCUUGAUUGCAUUGAGAAGAACAGGCGGUUGCUCGUACCUAGACUCUCAGUCCCCAUAUAUAAUCUUCCAAGCACAUUGCUUAGCCCUCCACGCUUUGCCAUAUGUUAUCUUGUAUCCAUCGCACACAUUCUCCACAAUUCGCAUGAUCGUCCUCACCUUCAUAUUUGGUUCUGACUGCAAUAUUCCCAUAUGUCGCUUCCCAAUGAGGGUAGAGGUCAACUGACGAUGCUUCGUCAUUAGCUCAUGUUCAGCACAGUUGUCCGAGCCCAUAAUUUUUGUUAUCUUCCACUUUCCGGUGAUCUUCUGUUUCAUAGCACUGACCCUCCAUGGACACUGGUCCUUGUCACAUACAAUAGCGUACGCCGCUUCUCGUAUGAAUGAAGCACCCUAUACGACCUCUUACGUAAGACGACAUAAUGUUGCAACCACAUCUUCAAGGCAUUUAGGUCCUUGAAAACCCGACCCAUUUCGAUCAUCAUGCUAGGACCCGCCUCAGGAGCAUCUAGCAACUCAUCAUCCCUCCCUUCUACAAAGGCGUCAUGAGAUAGACUCAGAUCGCUGAACUCAUGCACUCUUGGAUCCCGGUGCUCUAGAAUAACACGCUUCAACAUCUCAAUAUCACUAUGUGUAAGUUCACCAACCGAACGGUUAUCAUCUGAAUCAGCGGACAUAGCAAAGGCAUAAGGCUCCUCUUCAUUCCUAAACUCAGGACUAUUGGAUGCAAUAAUUCCAUCUCCACAAUGGAUAUGUGUUCUGAUCGUAGGAUCAACCAGAACAUCAGGAAUGUCUCCUGCAACAAGGACCAAAAAAAGAAUAAAAUGGCGGCAAUGAAAAGAACAAAGUAGGUAUGCUCGAAAAUGAUGAUCGGCUACAAAGAUACCUACAAAGGGACUUACUCCAAGGGUCCCUACCAAAGGGAUACUCUUGGUAGAAUCUAGGUGUAGGUAAUGAGUUCCAUAAUCAUUUGUAGGCUCACUUAAUGGGAUCAUAUUGGGGGGCAGAUUGAGCAUCAGGCACGGUUGGCACGACCUCAACACCACGAUCAUAGUUUUCAUCUUCAGGGCGAGAGGCAACUAACAAACGUCGUACCACUACAUCCAUGACUUGCUUUUGUGUCUUCAUAGCUGGUUUAACAUAAUUAUCCCACUCUCACUGACACUCAAUUGGGAAGAUAAGUCUUUGCACGUUGGGUAGAGGACCUACGUUUAGCACCCCAUCAACGACGAUGUCGUCAGCAUCAUGACAACAAAUCUUCUCCUUAGCCUUAGCAACCACCUCACUAAAGGAGGGUCUAUCAUCGAAUAUCACAGCCACACGUUGCAUGUCAACAAACUCAGCAUUUCCAUAAUGAUCUUGUUCCACGAUGCAUCCAUGGUAUAUGCCCAAAAAAUUGGCCAUCUAUUUGAAAUACGAAUUCAACGUUGAAUAACCAAUUGUGAUGGUUAGUGCAUAACCCCAUCCACUAUGACUAACUAAUACCUAAGUAUAAACUACCUAGUACCUAAUAAAUAAUUGUAAACUAAUACAAGAUAAUAACUAACUAAUACCUAACUACAAACUACCACCACGCGGUGGAUUAACAAUUUACCAAUAAUAACAAACUACUAACUACUAACGAUUUACCCACUAUUAACCAUUUACCAAUAAUAACUACAAAUCAAUAAGUACAUGGAAAGUGGGUUACUGGGCGGUAAGAGUGUGGCCGGCCACGGACUAGGCGGCGAGUGGCGGUUGCACGCGUCGAACGGGGGCGACGGUUUCAUCAAGUUUCUUGGUGCAUGCUUCACUGAUUCUGAUGCAUGUAUGGCUGGAUCCAUUUUUAGGUUCUUCCUGAUGACAUCCGUCGAGCAUUGCUUGUUAUUGUGGAGUGUUGCAUGAAGCGAGAUUAUCUAGCGGCAAUGGACCAAUACAUCAAGCUGGCAAUCGAGUUUUUAUUAACUUUUUACGCUGAUUUAAUCAAAUGGGCCAACGGGAUAACGGGCUGGUCCGACACAUUCAGCAGACCGGCAUGACGUGCCGGGACCAGAGUUGUGGCCCGUGCCGUGCCGCCGUUUGACCAUCUAAAUGCAUGCAACAGGUUAAUUUGAAAUAACUGUAAGGGAUUAUUUGUAAAAAUAUGACACGGGACGACCGUUAAAACUGGUGCUUUAAGUAUAGUAUAGAAGUAUAGAUAUAGAUUACAGGCCAGGCUGCGAAUUUAGUUUAUCGUGGUGUGGUGACUGAACUUACAAUCAUGCGAUAAAUGUAGUAUGGUUUCCAGAUCUUGUCAGUUGCGGUACUGACACAAUCACACAAGCACCAAAAUUGAUUAAUACGGUAAACAUGGCUGCCGCUUCAUGAUAUAUUGUAAAAAAAUGGUUCUCCAGAAUUUGGCUGAUAUAUUAAUAAAAACUUUGACCGGUCGGAUGUCGCGAUAAAGCGAUUUAAUUAGCAUGCACAAACAGAAAAAGAAAAAAGAUAAAAAAAACAGGCAGGAUUGAUUGUUGAUAUUACACAAGCAUCUCAAGCUCUACAUGUAAUCCAAUCUAGUCUACGAAGGCAUAUGCUGGCAUGAACCGGAGCCUUUCCUCGGAAGCUUUAGCCGAACCAUUCUCUUCCGAUAGAAGCGCCUGCAGGUCACUCCCAUUUGCCAGGCUGUUGAACUCCACUGAUUUUGAGGGCAGUGCAGGGUAACGCCGCUGGGAAAGCGUCAUCAGCCUCUUGAUUGACUGAAGGUACUUGCGAGUGGUCUCGUCAUUCAUGAUGUGGGCGACGCUGUUUGUGUAGAUCUUCUCUCGGGCAGAACGCUCGUGGAUGCCAACCAUAGUCACUCCAAUGGGCCAUGGUGCAUUCCCGAUUGCCAGCUUGAUGUAUUGGUCCAUUGCCGCUAGAUAAUCUCGCUUCAUGCAACACUCCACAAUAACAAGCAAUGCUCGACGGAUGUCAUCAGGAAGAACCUAAAAAUGGAUCCAGCCAUACAUGCAUCAGAAUCAGUGAAGCAUGCACCAAGAAACUUGUUGAAAAAAUUAGUUGUCAACGGUAUAAACAUAAUCAAUAUUCAGAUGAGCAUCAAUAUUAAUAGCACAAUUUAAGCAACCAACAGAUGGAAAUUGCAUAAGAAUCAAUACCUUCUUUCUGCAGAACUCAAACAGCGGGCUGAGAUACCGUGCACACUGCUUGAAUGUUGCAACCAUGGACUUCCCCUUUGCUGUCCGCUUCUCUAGCUCAGUCAUCUCAUCCAAUUCCUGGUUCCACUCAUUAAGCAGCUUCUUAAAGAACACCAAGAUCUUGUCUUCAUUGCAAAGCUCCUCAAACUUGGUCCUCAUCCUCUUGGAGUCCUUGUCUGCGUCAACAUCAUCGCCGCUCCCCUUGGCAUCCCCAUCAUCUGCACUGCCUCCGGCAGCACCCCAGUCGCCGCCAUCAACACGCUUGCUCUUGCCCUUGGCGUAGGUGUCCCUCCCGGCCUUCUGCCGCUUGCGCAUCUCGAUCAUGUCGCGGAGGAAGUCGUUGGUCUGUCCCUCGGUCAUGUCGAUGUCGUCGAUGACGCCGGACUUGAGCACGAGCUUGAAGCGCGCGAGGCGGGCGUCGUCGUCCUCCCCGAACAGCGUGACGGGCUCGCGCAGCACACGGAGGCGCCGCACCACCUCGUGCCGUGGGAGGUCGAGCUCGUCGAUGCGACGCUCCUCGGAACCGGUAGCAGCUGCGGCGGAAUUCGCGGAGGGCGCCGACGUGCCGGCCUUGGCGAGGAGCUGGCGGUGCUCGUCGCGCCGCUUCUGGAGUUGCUUCUGCUCCAGCUCCGACCGCCGCACGAAGCUCUUGCCCCCGAAGUCGGCCGUCGCCGCCUUCCGCUUCUUCUCCAGUUCCCGCUUCAGCAGAUCCAUUACGCCCGACGCUCAGUUGGGCUUCGAUUCUCCGAGAGGCGGUAUUUGACCGUUCCCGCAAAUAGAAGAGGACUCGACUCGACUUUGAUCGUGUUGUGGCCGUGUGGGCAGACUUUAUAUGCAAGCAAGCGUGCAAGUCCGUUCACCGUGCAAGUCCGUUCACCGGCUAAAAAUAUAUCCGGAUAUAGUUGUAGCUAACUAAUUUAGCGGUUUUGGAAAAUAACCAACCCCAAAUCUAUCCAUCUAUCUAUUCAUAAUAUAUACAUCUAUCUUUUGAUAAUCUACCCGUCGGACUACUUAUUGGGAUAAUAGCUGUAGAAGGUUGGGUACGUGCUUGUUUCUGUGGAUUAGGACAUGGUUGCCCACCACCCUGGGGCACUUGCACAUAGCUUGGCCUACACGUGCACGUAGCUCCCAGGUUGCUGUCUCCCGCGUCGUAUUUUUUGCAAUUUAGUUUUUUUUAUUUUAUUUUCACAAAUAUGUAUUUUCCAGUUUCAUUUAAAAAAAUGAAUCUCUACCUCGGCACCAUCACUAUUACCGCCGAGCUAGAACGAGUCGGUGCCGAUUAAAUUAGCGUGUAUAAUCAUUUCUCUUCUACCAAACGACCAAUAUCAACCUAAAUCAACGACUUGAUUUCAUUAUUCAUGUGUAUCAACGUAAUCUCCCUCCAUUUUUUGGUCUUUUGCUAUGUCUAAUUAAUAGGGUUAGGGUUAACGUUUGGGAAUCAUUUUUAUUGUCAUAUUAUCGAUUUGUAGGAUGUCUAGGCGUGGUAAAUCUGCUAAACAAAGGUAAGUGUUGUAUUAAAUGUAAUAACUAAUAUUUGUGAGUCUUAUAAAACAUAUCGACAUUUAUGAAGGGUCCGUUGACCGGAACUGCCUUCGACCCGUUUCCUUUGCCAACUGGUGUUCUAGUGCCUAUGUGUUUUUGUGGUGAUCCUUGCAAGGUUGACAAGUCAGAGGAUCAUGACACCUAUCGACAGAGGUAUUAGAUGUGUGGUAACUAUGCAUUUGAGCCAACGAUUGUUCAGCGUCGGAUGAAUUUAAUGGUGAGAAUAAUUUUUUAGUUAGUUCACAGCUUUCAUACGAAGUGGUGCAUGUUUUGUUUUGGUACUAAUCAUUGCAUGUUUUGUAGACUCCUCCACCGCUCUGUGAUUUUGAGCAGUGGAUUGACACAAAAAUCUCAUAGAAAGACAAGAAGUGGUUGGAGAAUCUUAAAAAGUGGGAUACAGAGGACAAAGAGAGGAUAGAGAAAAGACGCUGUCGAGCCUCGCCGUCCGCCCGGAGUAAGCUACGCCCGUGAUUCUCCCUCGUCGAGUUCGUCGCAUGGUGUGAAGUCCUGAGCUUGCAUGAAGUUCCCUUGGACCCGCCCUUCGUUUAUUCAUGGUGAGCUCGCCCCCUUCCUCUCUCCAUCCCUCUCCUCCUCUCCUCUUGCCGUGCUCGGUUUGGCGCUCGCUCGACGUGCCCGAAGCCCGUCUAGACCGGCCGAGCCCAGCCCCUCCCCAAGCGGAAGCCUGGCGUGACCCCGACACUCAUGGCGUGGUGCGCAGCCCGCGGACCGGGUAUCCACGUUCGGGUGGCCAUUCGUGUCCGCCUGCGC
rnacentral:lncRNA from 1 species